CAGUCGCCACGGUAAUACGGAGGGUGCAAGCGUUAAUUGGAAUUACUGGGCGUAAAGCGCACGCAGGCGGUCUGACAAGUCAGAUGUGAAAUCCCCGGGCUUAACCUGGGAACUGCAUUUGAAACUGUCAGGCUGGAGUCUUGUAGAGGGGGGUGGAAUUCCAGGUGUAGCGGUGAAAUGCGUAGAGAUCUGGAGGAAUACCGGUGGCGAAGGCGGCCCCCUGGACAAAGACUGACGCUCAGGUGCGAAAGCGUGGGGAGCAAACAGGAUUAGAUACCCGCGUAGUCCCUGUCUCUUAUAC
rnacentral:rRNA from 1 species